ensembl:lncRNA
GGAAAUUAUUCUCCAUGAGCUAGAAAAUGAACUAUCACAAAACAAUGAAUAACCAGCCUUCUGACCUGGGACUUACCAGCUUCUAGAACUGAAUGUCUAUGCAACAUGUAUGUAGUUGGUGUUCAUGGAGAUCAGAAGAGGCUGACAGAUUCCUUGCAACUGGAACUACAGACAGCUGUGAACUGCCAUGUGCAUGCUAGAAAUCAAGCCCUGGUCCUCUGUGAGAGCAAAGAGAUUACAGCUAUUUUCAGUGGGAGGAGCUAAAAAGCCAGAACAUCAAGAUAUACCAGUGUGAGAAAAAUGGUUAAACGUCAAUGUGUCAGUGGUGCAAGAUUCUAGGAAAUAACAUGCUUCAGUCUCUUAUGCGCUGGGACUACAGCAACCUUCUCAGGCUGGACUUAAAAGAAGACAGAAGCUGUGAAUUUGCCAGAGAUCAUGGAGAGGUAUAUAGAAGUGUUUGGAGGGAAGAAAUGAAAUGGAAAAGAACUUUGAAAAUAAAAGACUAAUAAUUCUUAAAUUAUCAGACA